rfam:Megaselia scalaris, Durham, NC isolate 2 -- Noor lab, WGS project CAQQ02000000 data, contig: ctg0000186788
ACAAAGGAUUUUUUCAUUUAGAAAAAAAUCCAUAAACAUUUUAAUAAACACAUUG